rnacentral:rRNA from 1 species
UACAGAGGUCUCAAGCGUUUGUUCGGAUUCAUUGGGCGUAAAGGGUGCGUAGGCGGCGCUAUCAGUCGGGUGUGAAAGCCCUCGGCUCAACCGAGGAACUGCGCCCGAUACUGUAGUGCUUGAGGGAGACAGAGGUAAGCGGAACUGAUGGUGGAGCGGUGAAAUGCGUUGAUAUCAUCAGGAACACCGGUGGCGAAAGCGGCUACUGGGUCUCUUCUGACGCUGAGGUACGAAAGCUAGGGAGCGAACGGG